AUGCUGGAGGUAUCAGAAGUGCGAAUGCUGACAUAAGUAACGAUAAAGCGGGUGAAAAGCCCGCUCGCCGGAAGACCAAGGGUUCCUGUCCAACGUUAAUCGGGGCAGGGUGAGUCGACCCCUAAGGCGAGGCCGAAAGGCGUAGUCGAUGGGAAACGGGUUAAUAUUCCCGUACUUGGUGUUACUGCGAAGGGGGGACGGAGAAGGCUAUGUUGGCCGGGCGACGGUUGUCCCGGUUUAAGCGUGUAGGUGUGUGUUCCAGGUAAAUCCGGUUCACUUUAACACUGAGGCGUGACGACGAGGCACUACGGUGCUGAAGCAACAAAUGCCCUGCUUCCAGGAAAAGCCUCUAAGCAUCAGGUAACAUCAAAUCGUACCCCAAA
rnacentral:rRNA from 1 species